AUUGAACGCUGGCGGCAUGCCUUACACAUGCAAGUCGAACGGUAACAGGUCUUCGGAUGCUGACGAGUGGCGAACGGGUGAGUAAUACAUCGGAACGUGCCUAGUAGUGGGGGAUAACUACUCGAAAGAGUGGCUAUUACCGCAUGAGAUCUACUGAUGAAAGCAGGGGAUCGCAAGACCUUGUGCUACUAGAGCGGCCGAUGGCAGAUUAGGUAGUUGGUGGGAUAAAAGCUUACCAAGCCGACGAUCUGUAGCUGGUCUGAGAGGACGAUCAGCCACACUGGGACUGAGACACGGCCCAGACUCCUACGGGAGGCAGCAGUGGGGAAUUUUGGACAAUGGGCGGAAGCCUGAUCCAGCAAUGCCGCGUGCAGGAUGAAGGCCUUCGGGUUGUAAACUGCUUUUGUACGGAACGAAAAGCCCCGGGUUAAUACCCUGGGGUCAUGACGGUACCGUAAGAAUAAGCACCGGCUAACUACGUGCCAGCCGCCGCAGUAA
rnacentral:rRNA from 1 species